UACGAAGGGGGCUAGCGUUGCUCGGAAUCACUGGGCGUAAAGCGCACGUAGGCGGCUUUCUAAGUCAGGGGUGAAAUCCUGGAGCUCAACUCCAGAACUGCCUUUGAUACUGGGGAGCUCGAGUCCGGAAGAGGUGAGUGGAACUCCGAGUGUAGAGGUGAAAUUCGUAGAUAUUCGGAAGAACACCAGUGGCGAAGGCGGCUCACUGGUCCGGUACUGACGCUGAGGUGCGAAAGCGUGGGGAGCAACAGG
rnacentral:rRNA from 1 species